rnacentral:lncRNA from 1 species
AAUAAUUUAAGUCUGCAAUUGUGAAAUUUGACAAAACUAUGUAUUUGCUUUAAUGGUUAAGUGUUCUGGGUGUGUAUAUGAGGUCUUGGGUUCAAGUCCCAGUAUUGGAAAAUUUUUUUUUUUUUUAGAUCCAAGCCUUAUCCUUGUUGAGUGGACUUAUAUAAAAUUGUUGGUUAAUCCAUAUUAGAAUGAGCCUACUGGUUCGAGUGGUAAGGAGUUAGUGUGUUGGAGGUCUUGUGUUCGAAACCCUGUGCGAGCAUGGGUAUUAUUUUUGCUCGGUUGUGUGAUAGAGUUUCCAUGGAGUUGGAAUUUUGAAUUGGUUGGGUGAUUAGUGGAUGUAGUGG